rnacentral:rRNA from 2 species
UGGUGGGUAGUUUGACUGGGGCGGUCUCCUCCUAAAGAGUAACGGAGGAGCACGAAGGUUGGCUAAUCCUGGUCGGACAUCAGGAGGUUAGUGCAAUGGCAUAAGCCAGCUUGACUGCGAGCGUGACGGCGCGAGCAGGUGCGAAAGCAGGUCAUAGUGAUCCGGUGGUUCUGAAUGGAAGGGCCAUCGCUCAACGGAUAAAAGGUACUCCGGGGAUAACAGGCUGAUACCGCCCAAGAGUUCAUAUCGACGGCGGUGUUUGGCACCUCGAUGUCGGCUCAUCACAUCCUGGGGCUGAAGUAGGUCCCAAGGGUAUGGCUGUUCGCCAUUUAAAGUGGUACGCGAGCUGGGUUUAGAACGUCGUGAGACAGUUCGGUCCCUAUCUGCCGUGGGCGCUGGAGAACUGAGGGGGGCUGCUCCUAGUACGAGAGGACCGGAGUGGACGCAUCACUGGUGUUCGGGUUGUCAUGCCAAUGGCACUGCCCGGUAGCU